CCAGCACCUGCGGUAAUUCCAGCUCCAAUAGCGUAUAUUAAAGUUGAUGCAGUUAAAACGCUCGUAGUUGUAUGUAGGCUGUGUGGACGUUGGUGCGAAUCAAUGGACACGCAGCAGGCGGGGUGGGAGGGGUGAUGGGUGGUUUAACAACCAACCAACCCCCUCCAGCCCGCAGUUACUGUGAGGAAAUUAGAGUGUUCAAGGCAGGCGGUUGCUUGGAUAGGUCAGCAUGGGAUAACAUCAGAUUUGGUGUUGGUCAACAUACAAUCAUCUUGAAUAGGAACAGUCGGGGGCACUGGUAUUUGCUGGUCAGAGGUGAAAUUCUUGGAUCCAGCAAGGACCAACUGGGG
rnacentral:rRNA from 1 species